CCGAGAGCAUGCUGGGAAGCAUUAUUAAAGGAAGCCGUCUUCCGUUGCUUUGUCUUUUCGGUGUUGCGCUUUGCAAGAUGAUGGAAUUAAUCUGUUAAACUGAAGGUUGUGACCGAGACUAGAGUCACAUCUGGAUGUCAUCAAUCAUCAUGGUGUGCUAUAGUCCUCGAAGAAUAAUAACUGACCUUUAUUCACUGACUGUCUGAUUCAUUAGCAGAGUCAGUUGCCAGGGAUACUAUAGAAUCGGAGAAAAGAAGGCGCUUUAGUAAUUGAUUACAGAAUUCAUCUGCAACUGAAAAAGUGAUGAAGUAAUGUGAAAUCUUUAUAUUUCAAUAAAAAUCUAUAAAAAUCAAA